rnacentral:rRNA from 1 species
UAUAGGAGCUGACGCCUGCCCGGUGCUGGAAGGUUAAGGGGAUCUGUUAGAGCAAUCGAAGCAGUGAACUUAAGCCCCAGUAAACGGCGGCCGUAACUAUAACGGUCCUAAGGUAGCGAAAUUCCUUGUCGGGUAAGUUCCGACCCGCACGAAAGGCGUAACGAUUUGGGCACUGUCUCAACAACAGACUCGGUGAAAUUGUAAUUCCGGUGAAGAUGCCGGAUACCUGCGACAGGACGGAAAGACCCCAUGGAGCUUUACUGUAGCUUGACAUUGGGUCUUGGUACUACAUGUACAGGAUAGGUGGGAGGCUUUGAAACCAGGACGCCAGUUUUGGCGGAGCCAUCCUUGGGAUACCACCCUUGUAGUACUGGGACUCUAACCAUAGGCCAUGAAUCUGGUCUUGGGACACUGUCAGGUGGGCAGUUUGACUGGGGCGGUCGCCUCCCAAAAGGUAACGGAGGCGCUCAAAGGUUCUCUCAGUACGGUCGGAAAUCGUACGUAGAGUGUAAAGGCAAAAGAGAGCUUGAUUGCAAGACAUACAGGUCGAGCAAGGAUGAAAAUCGGACUUAGUGAUCCGGUGGUUCUGCGUGGAAGGGCCAUCGCUCAACGGAUAAAAGCUACCCUGGGGAUAACAGGCUUAUCUCCCCCAAGAGUCCACAUCGACGGGGAGGUUUGGCACCUCGAUGUCGGCUCAUCACAUCCUGGGGCUGUAGUAGGUCCCAAGGGUUGGGCUGUUCGCCCAUUAAAGUGGUACGCGAGCUGGGUUCAGAACGUCGUGAGACAGUUCGGUCCCUAUCCGUCGCAGGCGUAGGAAAUUUGAGAAGACCUGUCCUUAGUACGAGAGGACCGGGAUGGACGUACCUCUGGUGUACCAGUUGUCCUGCCAAGGGCAUGGCUGGGUAGCUAUGUACGGAAUGGAUAAGCGCUGAAAGCAUCUAAGCGCGAAGCCAACUUCAAGAUAAGAUUUCCCACCGCAAGGGUAAGACCCCAGAAAGACUAUCUGGUUGAUAGGUCGAAGGUGUAAGUGCAGCAAUGUAUUUAGCUUAUCGAUACUAAUAGGUCGAGGACUUGACCAA